AUGUUAGGUGUUAGCAUACCAGCUAUUCUUGAGAAAGAAGAAAAUCUUGCAGAAAGACUUGAAAAGCCACAAGGAAGACAGAAACCAAACCAGAAAGUACAGGAGACUGUUAGACAAAACAAACCAGAACUCAGAAGAUGGAAAACAGAAUGUGUGAAUGAGGCUACAGGGUGAAAGACAUAGCUGAGGCUAUGAAGAAUCCAGUAUGCUCUUCUAGUUUUAUGCAUUUUGGGCAUAGUUCACCAGAUCAUGUAAAAACCAAAUAAGGAACUGCAAUAAGAGGGGAAGUUGUAUAGAAUGAGAAGACAUUUUUUCAGAGCGCAAGAGAAAAAUGACAUGGACAAUUACUGGCAACAGCAGUUCAACUUCUGUCAGAAGACUUCAAGACUCUUUUCUUCAGAAAACUUAACUAAAGACGUAGAGAAAGGAAAAAGGAAUGUAUAACCUCAAACACAUCAAAUGGUCACUAACAUGGAAAGGCACAAGAAAAGACAG